rnacentral:lncRNA from 1 species
CGGGGGGUUUGGGGUACAAAAGGGGCUCUGGGCAGGUGACAGGGCCAGCUUGGGGACAAUGGGGGGUCACAGGGGACACAGGGGGCGGGCGCAGGGGGUGACACACCCAGGCACACAGGUGACACACAGAGGGACACAGGACUGCAGGGACACAGCCCGGUUUAUUGCCAUGGUGACACCCCAAAACUCACAGCCUCAGUGUCCCCAGGACUGGUCACUGCGGGGUCACCCCAAUGUCCCCAGGACUGGUCACUGCAGGGUCACCCCAAUGUCCCCAGGACUGGUCAGUGUGGGGUCACCCCAGUGUCCCCAGGACUGGUCACUGUGGGGUCACCCCAAUGUCCCCAGGACUGGUCAGUGUGGGGUCACCCCAGUGUCCCCAGGACUGGUCACUGCAGUGACGUGAUGCUGCAGCUCCCAGGGGUCAGUUGGUCACCACAGGGGUCACUUGGCCAUGGCAGUGUCCCCACGGUGUCCCUGUGGUCACUGUGCCAUGGCAAUCCCUGUUCCACAGCCACGUCCCCACGGUGGUCACUAUGGUCAGUCACUGUGCCAUGGUGGUGUCCUGGUGUCCCCAUGGUGGUCACUAUGGUCACUGUGCCAUGGUGGUGUCCUGGUGUCCCCACGGUGGUCACUGUGCCAUGGUGGUGUCCUGGUGUCCCCACAGUGGUCACUGUGGUCAGUCACUGCUCCAUGGUGGUGUCCUGGUGUCCCCACGGUGGUCACUGUGCCAUGGUGGUGUCCCCACAGUGGUCACUGCUCUGUGGCAAUGUCCCCUCAGUGUCCCAGUGGUCAGUCACCGUGCCAUGGUAGUGCCUCUGCUGGUCACUCUGUUCACUGACCCAUGGCAAUGUCCCCGUGCUGGUCAGCGCUCCAUGGCCGUGUCCUGGGGCGGUCACUGUGGUCACUCAGCGCUCCAUGGCAGCACCCUGGGGUGGGCACUGUGGUCACUCAGCGCUCCAUGGCCGUGUCCUGGGGUGGUCACUCAGUGCUCCAUGGCGUGUCCGGGGUGGUCACUGUGGUCACUCCAGCUCCAUGGCCGUGUCCCAGGGCGGUCACUGUGG